rnacentral:rRNA from 1 species
UACGUAGGGGGCGAGCGUUGUCCGGAAUUAUUGGGCGUAAAGAGCUCGUAGGCGGUUUGUUGCGUCGGCUGUGAAAUCCCGAGGCUCAACCUCGGGUCUGCAGUCGAUACGAGCAAACUAGAGUGUUGCAGGGGAGACUGGAAUUCCUGGUGUAGCGGUGAAAUGCGCAGAUAUCAGGAGGAACACCGGUGGCGAAGGCGGGUCUUUGGGCAACAACUGACGCUGAGGAGCGAAAGCGUGGGGAGCGAACAGG